CGUUGUCUUCGGACAACCAGCCAAUGCUUCAGCACUCUGUGAGAAGUGCCUUCGGGUGAGUGCCAACCAAAGUUUCAGCAGUCUGUGAGAAACGCCUUCGGGUGACUGCCAAUAGCCUUGUAGCCUGAAAGAGGAAGCCCAUGUGGCGGUAACUCC
rnacentral:ncRNA from 1 species